rnacentral:rRNA from 1 species
UACGGAGGGUGCAAGCGUUAUCCGGAUUCACUGGGUUUAAAGGGUGCGUAGGUGGGUUGAUAAGUCAGUGGUGAAAUCCCCGAGCUUAACUUGGGAACUGCCGUUGAUACUAUCUGUCUUGAAUAUUGUGGAGGUGAGCGGAAUAUGUCAUGUAGCGGUGAAAUGCUUAGAUAUGACAUAGAACACCAAUUGCGAAGGCAGCUUACUACGCAGAGAUUGACGCUCAUGCACGAAAGCGUGGGGAUCAAACAGG